CACUCACAGCUCUGGGGCAGCAGAGAGGGCAGCGUGGGGUUCAGCUGCUCGGAGCUUCCCCUGGAGCUGUCCCAGCAGAUCACGGGGCGUGUGGGGGCUCUGGGGCCACGCGCGCUUGGGCACCCAUGCAGGACACCCAGACCCCACUGCCACGGGGGGAUUUCACCCCGUGUUACCCUCAGCUGUCCCCUCAGUGUCCCCCACCGUGGCCACUCACACACAGCAGUGCUGCUCCCUCUUUCUCCAUGAGUUUAGGGGCCCACCAGGCAGCCUGAGAUCCCCACUGGGCUGUAGGCAGCUUUGAUUCCUUGGAGUCCUCUCAGGGAUGCCUCAGAGAGCACCUGAGCACCUCCUGGAAGCAGCCUGUCCCCUUUCCACGUGGCCUCUGGAAUUCCAGCUGUGCCUUUGGGAAUCAACCCUGGCAUAAAACGGGGAUGAACCAAGAGAGGGAAUUCUGUCCUGGCAGAGAUUAACCCUGGGGAGAACUCCCAGCUCCGGGGGAAUCCUUCCCCAGGGAGCUCUGAGAGCCUGAGGCAGCUCCGAAUGCUGUGAGUCCCAGCACCCCAGCCCUUUGCAGCUUUUCCCCAAGUCUCUGCUGCUCUCUGGAACUUCCAGCACCGAAUUAGCAGCGCAAUCAUGAGAAAAGGAAUCGCAGCCUUCUCCAAGCUGUCAAGUGCAUUUUGCUGGAUGAUUAAUUGGCAGAGCUCUGGCCAAGCCCUGGGUCCUGCUAAAGGCCAUGCCCUUGACUUGCACCUGCCACUGAUUGCAGAAAAUGGAUGUCUUCACUUCUCCCUUUUUUUCCUCCCAGGUUUUUUUUUUGGUGCAGCUGUUAAACUGCUUUAAGGAAAUCUUAUUUAUCUCGACCAGAAACUUGAACUUCUUCUCUAAUCUCAGGAGGCUGAAAUGAGUGUAAUUCUCUGCCUCAGCCUGACUUAUGGAAGCAAUAUUUUAGGAUCUUUAGGAAAGCUGUGAUAAUUGGACAUGAUUUUUGCUCCUUUUCUAGGAGCUGGGAUGUUCCUGUGCUUUGUGGCCCCCACGGGGUGCUGGAGUGGGAUCUGCAAAGGGUGCUUUGGAAUUAACAGCGUGGAAAUCUCCCCCCCCACACACGCAGCGGUCACCGGAGCUGUGAGCUGGGAGGGAUUUUAAGGAUCAUCUUCCACUGGAGAUGGCCCUGGAAUGCCGGGAACGUCACUCACUCCCCUGGGACACCGCAGGUCCCGUCCCCUCCCUCCCCAGGGCUCCGGGAAGCGCGCGGGGGAAACUGAUGGAGGAUCGCGAGUCGAACAAAUUGAGUGUGACAGGAAAAAAAAGCCAAGUCUUGACUGGAUUUGCUUGCCGGGAAUGACACGAAGUCAAGUAUCUUAUUAAGUUCAAGAGAAUUACAUUUUCCAUGCUCCAGCGAGAGACACGGGCCCUUUGGAAAAUCAUAAUGAACGGCUUUCUGCCGCCCUCAUUUACAUACCUUUGAUAAAUGGCUGUAACCAGAUUAGGGAGAUAAAAUAAGCAGUCUAUUAAUUACAA